rnacentral:rRNA from 1 species
ACUAGCCCUGAAAAUGGAUGGCGCUCAAGCGUCGCACCUACACUGUGCCGUCGGGGCAGAGGCCAGGCCCCGACGAGUAGGAGGGCGCGGGGGUCGUGAGGCAGCCUCUGGCGCGAGCCUGGGCGAAACGGCCUCCGGUGCAGAUCUUGGUGGUAGUAGCAAAUAUUCAAAUGAGAGCUUUGAAGACCGAAGUGGAGAAAGGUUCCAUGUGAACAGCAGUUGGACAUGGGUUAGUCGAUCCUAAGAGAUAGGGAAGCUCCGUUUUCAAGCGCCCCAUCGCGGGCCGCCUAUCGAAAGGGAAUCGGGUCAAUAUUCCCGAACCGGAACACGGAUAUCGCCACUCGCUGGCGGGUGCGGCGACGCAAACGAACCCGGAGACGCCGGCGGGGGCCCUGGGAAGAGUUCUCUUUUCUUUUUAACGGACUUUCACCCUGGAAUCAGCUUGCCUGGAGAUAGGGUUCCAUGUCCGGUAAAGCACCACACUUCUUGUGGUGUCCGGUGCGCUCCCGACGGCCCUUGAAAAUCCGGGGGAGACAGUGAUUUUCGUGUCCGGUCGUACUCAUAACCGCAGCAGGUCUCCGAGGUGAGCAGCCUCUGGUUGAUAGAACAAUGUA